GCGCCGUUAGCUCAAUUGGAUAGAGCGUAUGACUACGGAUCAUAAGGUUAUGGGUUCGACUCCUAUACGGCGCGCCA
rnacentral:tRNA from 1 species